rnacentral:rRNA from 1 species
AGAGUUUGAUCCUGGCUCAGAACGAACGCUGGCGGCAGGCUUAACACAUGCAAGUUGAACGGGAUUUGUAUGGUGCUUGCACCAUGUAAUGAGAGUAGCGCACUGGUGAGUAACACGUGGGAACAUACCUUGAAGUGGGGGACAACAGUUGGAAACGACUGCUAAUACCGCAUAAUCCCUGAGGGGGAAAGAUUUAUCGCUUUAAGAUUGGCCCGCGGAAGAUUAGGUAGUUGGUGGGGUAAAGGCCUACCAAGCCGACGAUCUAUAGCUGGUCUGAGAGGACGAACAGCCACAUUGGAACUGAGACACGGUCCAGACUCCUACGGGAGGCAGCAGUGAGGAAUAUUGGGCAAUGGAGGAAACUCUGACCCAGCCAUGCCGCGUGAGUGAAGAAGGUUUUCGAAUUGUAAAGCUCUUUCGGAUGGGACGAUGAUGACGGUACCAUCUAAAGAAGCCCCGGCAAACUUCGUGCCAGCAGCCGCGGUAAUACGAAGGGGGCAAGCGUUGUUCGGAAUUACUGGGCGUAAAGGGUGUGUAGGCGGAUUUGUAAGAUAGUGGUGAAAUACCUGAGCUCAACUUAGGAAUUGCCAUUAUAACUAUAGAUCUGGAGUGACAGAGAGGAUAUUGGAAUACCCAGUGUAGAGGUGAAAUUCGUAGAUAUUGGGUAGAACACCAGUGGCGAAGGCGAGUAUCUGGCUGUCAACUGACGCUGAGGCACGAAAGCAUGGGGAUCAAACAGGAUUAGAUACCCUGGUAGUCCAUGCUGUAAACGAUGAAUGCUAGUUGUCGGCGUAAGCCGGUGACGCAGUUAACGCGAUAAGCAUUCCGCCUGGGGAGUACGGUCGCAAGAUUAAAACUCAAAGGAAUUGACGGGGACCCGCACAAGCGGUGGAGCAUGUGGUUUAAUU